GAAGAGGAAACGCUCUUUCCAGUCCAGACGUCCUCAAUCGAUCAUCGCUUAGUGCUCUGUCAGGGUUAUUAAUCACAUCUCCAGCAUGGGGAGGAGCUCAGGGGAAUCACCACAGCUCCGGACAAGUCACAGCACGAAAAAGAAGAAGAGAAAAUAAUGUCAGUAAUGAAGUAAAGCUUAAACCCUGGAGAGGAAACCAGAAUAAAACCUUACUGUGUAACACUUCAGCUGCUAAUGGACAAUAAAGACAAAACCACUCCGUGAGUCUAUAAAAUACACCAUCACUAUAUGAAUAAAGUUCUAUACAUCCCUGUUUUUACACACACACACACACACACACACACACACACACACACACACACACACACGUUAACUGUCCUCAUUAGCAUAUUAGUGGUCUUAAAGUGAGGUUGUAGCCAGUUAAAGUUAAUUAGUUUCCAUGUUGCUGAUUUAAAACACUCCGGAGAUAAUAAAGCUAAAUAUUCGUAGUGUUGACAUUGUGAGAAUGAACAUCAUAAAGCAGCUAAAUAAUAACGAUCCUAUAAAUAAAGAGUUGAACAUC